rnacentral:rRNA from 1 species
UACGUAGGGGGCUAGCGUUGUUCGGAAUUACUGGGCGUAAAGCGCGCGUAGGCGGUGUUCUUUGUCAGAGGUGAAAUCCCGAGGCUCAACUUCGGAAUUGCCUUUGAAACGGGAUUGCUUGAGUCCGAGAGGGGAUGGCGGAAUUCCUAGUGUAGAGGUGAAAUUCGUAGAUAUUAGGAAGAACACCGGUGGCGAAGGCGGCCAUCUGGCUCGGUACUGACGCUCAGGCGCGAAAGCGUGGGGAGCAAACAGG